rnacentral:lncRNA from 1 species
CAGCGGGCGGUGGGGACUCGGCUUCCCAGCGUGCUCCGCAUGGGCCGCCGCGGCUGACGGCGCCCUUCCUGUGCGCGCGCCGCGCUGCGGGGAGCGGCCGGAUAUACCCGCCUGGGCCGCGCGCUGCGAGGAGGAGCGGUUGGGCCGCGCUCCGUGAGGAGGAGGAAGGAGGGAGAGCCUGAUUGAGAGCAGCAUGGAAGAUUCUCCUGGGGACCUGUCCAUUCAGAGAGAUGCCAUCCUGUCUGAGUUGUACCAUAUUCAGAUCACCACCAAGAAACUGGUGCAGGAGCUGAGAUCCUUGGUGGCUUUAACUGACCCAGAGGAAGGGAAAUUGUUUCAGUCUCAAGAGACAGCUUUAAAGUCACUAGAUAUUUGGAAGACCUUAUUUGCUGCAGCUGGGCCUAAGCCAGAGAGCAC